AUUGAACGCUGGCGGAAUGCUUUACACAUGCAAGUCGAACGGCAGCACGGGGCAACCUGGUGGCGAGUGGCGAACGGGUGAGUAAUACAUCGGAACGUGCCCAAUCGUGGGGGAUAACGUAGCGAAAGUUACGCUAAUACCGCAUACGAUCUACGGAUGAAAGCGGGGGAUCGCAAGACCUCGCGCGAGUGGAGCGGCCGAUGUCAGAUUAGGUAGUUGGUGGGGUAAAGGCUCACCAAGCCAACGAUCUGUAGCUGGUCUGAGAGGACGACCAGCCACACUGGAACUGAGACACGGUCCAGACUCCUACGGGAGGCAGCAGUGGGGAAUUUGGACAAUGGGCGCAAGCCUGAUCCAGCCAUUCCGCGUGCAGGAUGAAGGCCUUCGGGUUGUAAACUGCUUUGUACGGAACGAAACGGCGAGCUCUAAUACAGUUUGCUAAUGACGGUACCGUAAGAAUAAGCACCGGCUAACUACGUGCCAGCAGCCGACC
rnacentral:rRNA from 1 species